AGGCUUCACAGCCUCACAGCUGUCUGUCUGAUCACAACCAUGUGGCCGAUGUGGACAUGUCGCACAGCACGUUUCCGUGCCGACCCGUAGAAUGUGUCGUCGCAGAACAUUUACAACCAGGAGUGUGAUCAGGUGUUGGUGGGCAUGAAAGGGCCGUAAAUUACUGCGAUAAAAUCGAGCAGGCUUUUCGAUAGCUGUGACGCGAAAGGCCGAAACAGUCUUGGCGCAUCUUUUCGUGUGUGGAUUGUAGGCGCGCGAAUUCACGAGCUUACAAACCUGCGGCGUUUCGAAUGCCAUCGACGUAUUGUUUCGUGAACGGGUGUCCGCAUGCCUUGAAGAACACUGCUGGAAUAUCCUACCACUUGGUGCCUAGCCGAGCCAACAGGAAAAAGCAAUGGGAAGAGGCCGUCGGUCACUCGCUGACGCACUGUGCUCGCGUCUGUUCUGCGCAUUUUCGUGCCUUGGACUACAUGCCGUCCACGGGUGAUCGUAAGAGAAGGCGACUCAAGAUCUCAGCUGUGCCGUCUAUCUUCAAGCUUAGCAGGAAACGCAAGCGGCGAAGACGCCGCGAAGCUGUCUCUCCUUAAGUCUCCUCUAUUUUUUCGAGAGUUGGGAGACAGUAAAGGGUCUUUAGUGUCUCCCGACAUCGAGCGCACGGCUCCAUACCGUGGUGCAAUGGUGCACUACAUUACACCCGCUGAAGUGGGGACAGAAAUGGAGGGUGACACAUUCCAUGCCGCUCCUCUUGAUCCAGUGCUGGGAGAGCCACAUGAAGAACAUUCUUAUGCAUAUAGAUGGCGUGCUCCAAGAUAUGCCUCUGCAAGUACCCAGACCAAUUUGCUUGCCUCACCCGAAAAAAAGGACUUUGGCAUUCAAACACGGCUUGUUAUGUGUCAGAGCAAAUCCACUCAGUGCCAGUGCAUCUAGUGUUGCUCGUUAGCACUUCCACACCAAAAUGAGAACGGAGGAGCACUACAUGAGAGAUUGUGGAUGACCCCGGGGAAGCUAGGCCAUAUUUCAGAUGUGAAUGACUACAGCUAGUGCCAAUCAGCAUCACAGAGCAGCAUGAAGCUGUUCUGCUGCAACAGGCCUUCAUUCAAGUUUCAUCACUUCUUCGUCACAGGAAAUUCUGGUCUGACUAAGUGAUCACCUUUUCUUCACAUCCGGCGAGCCCAGCUUCGAUGUCACUUGAAUCAACGCCUUGAAAUUGAAUGAUAAAUAUGUAAAAUUACGUGCACUCUUUUAUAUAGAAGAAAUAAAUUUGGCAUAAAUUGUGACA
rnacentral:misc_RNA from 1 species